rnacentral:rRNA from 1 species
CCUACGGGUGGCUGCAGUGGGGAAUAUUGGACAAUGGGGGCAACCCUGAUCCAGCCAUGCCGCGUGUGUGAAGAAGGCCCUCGGGUUGUAAAGCACUUUCAGUGAGGAAGAACGCCUGGUGGUUAAUACCCAUCAGGAAAGACAUCACACACAGAAGAAGCACCGGCUAACUCCGUGCCAGCAGCCGCGGUAAUACGGAGGGUGCGAGCGUUAAUCGGAAUUACUGGGCGUAAAGCGCGCGUAGGUGGCUUGAUAAGCCGGUUGUGAAAGCCCCGGGCUCAACCUGGGAACGGCAUCCGGAACUGUCAAGCUAGAGUGCAGGAGAGGAAGGUAGAAUUCCCGGUGUAGCGGUGAAAUGCGUAGAGAUCGGGAGGAAUACCAGUGGCGAAGGCGGCCUUCUGGACUGACACUGACACUGAGGUGCGAAAGCGUGGGUAGCAAACAGGAUUAGAUACCCGUGUAGUC